rnacentral:rRNA from 1 species
UUGACGGUACCCUACUAGAAAGGAGCCGCUAACUUCGUGCCAGAAGCGUCGGUAAUACGGGGGCUCCAAGCGUUAUCCGGUGUUAUUGGGCGUAAAGAGUCGUGUAGGUGGUUGGGUAAGUUAUCUUUCAAAUAUCUUUGCUUAACAAAGAGGAGGGGGAUAAUACUGCUCGACUAGAAUUUCCUCAAGGGAGAUCGGAACUGAGGGAGGAGUAGUGAAAUGCGUUGAUACCCUCGGGAACACCAGUGGCGUAGGCGGAUCUCUGGGAGAAGAUUGACACUGAGACACGAAAGCUAGGGGAGCGAAGCAGAUUAGAGACCUGCGUAGUCCUAGCCGUAAACGCAUGCUUGCUAGCUGCAUGAAUCUACCUUCGGGUGGUAUCGUGUGGCGAAGGUAACCCGUUAAGCAAGCCGCCUGGAAAGUACGGCCGCAAGGCUGAAAUUCAAAGGAAUUGGCGGGGAGGCACACAACCAGUGGAACAUGUGGUUUAAUUCGAGACUAACCGAAGAACCUCACCAGGGUUUGACAUGUAGCUGCACGUCUUAAGAAAUUAAGACUCUCUUGAAGGUGCUACGCAGGUGCUGCAUGGCUGUCGUCAGCUCGUUCCGUGAGGAGUGCCCUUAAGUGGGACAACGAGCGCAACCCCUAUUACAUGUUAGAAAUGUCAUGUAAGACUGCCUUGCCAUUUGGCGGGGAGGAAGGAGGGGCAGACGUCAGGUCCGCAUGGUCCUUAUGCCCUGGGCUACACACAUGUUACAAUGAGUACGGCAAUGAGUCUGUCGCGAGCACGUAAGUGUAAGCUAAUCUCUUAAAUGUACUCUCAGUGGGGAUUGAGGUCUGCAACUCGACCUCAUGAACACGGAAUUGGUAGUAAUCGCGGGUCAGCUAUACCGCGGUGAUACGUUCUUGCCUCUUGCACACACCGCCCGUCAAACCAGCAAAGU